UACGUAGGGUGCGAGCGUUAAUCGGAAUUACUGGGCGUAAAGCGUGCGCAGGCGGUUGGGCAAGACCGAUGUGAAAGCCCCGGGCUUAACCUGGGAAUGGCAUUGGUGACUGCACGGCUAGAGUGUGUCAGAGGGGGGUAGAAUUCCACGUGUAGCAGUGAAAUGCGUAGAGAUGUGGAGGAAUACCGAUGGCGAAGGCAGCCCCCUGGGAUAACACUGACGCUCAUGCACGAAAGCGUGGGGAGCAAACAGG
rnacentral:rRNA from 1 species